AUAUAUUUGAGUAAAUAGUUGAUAAAUUAUUUUGCCCCUUCAAAUACUAUAUCUAGCUUCGCCACUGAUUGUAGUCAGUUGUGCAAAGCAUUGAGCUGCCAUAUCAUCACACUCUGUCACCAUAAGUGGCAGAAAUCAAUCCAUAUCAUCUUCGCCAUUUAAAGCUGAGGACAUUGCACCUUUUUCUCUAGUCAAGAAAUUCAACGAGCCUGUUUGGUACAAAUCAUUCUAAACUGAAAUAUAUCUUGAGUUUUACCCAAAAAUGGAGCUUGACAUGGUUUGGAUAUGGGUAUUAUAGAUUAGUGAAUGCAUUGUCAUGGAAUAUUGAGCAUAUUGAAGUUGUAAGAGAAAAGAAAACUAGGGGUAGACCUAUAUCAUGGGGAGUUUUAACUUAAUUUGAAUUUUUAACUAAUUCCCAUACUAGUUGAACUUGUACCAUAUGAGUGAUUGCAAUAUAAGAAUGCUACACCUCUUUGUUCGUGACUGUGGUGCAUACUAGGUGAAAAUUUGACUGGAUAUCAUAGCAUUAUAGUCUGGUCAUUACCUAGGUUCUCUUGGGAUGUUAUUUUUGGAUUUGCUAAAACUCUUUUUAGAAGUGUAAAAGAUCUUUAAUCCAUCAGUAACGUACUAAUUUUAUAUAAGUAAUCUAUAUUUUACGCAUGUGCUCAAGUGAGAGGAAGGGAAGAGGGUAAGUGGGUAAGAAGGGAGACCUUUCGAGUUUUGAGGAAAGUGAUAUGACCUUACCUUCUUGUGUCUUAUUGCGAAUGGAUGAUGGGUUUCUACACUUUCCAAGCAAUAACUUAUUGUGUACCCAUGCUGUUUCUUACUAAUUCAGAAUGGUGAAUAGCACUCUGCUUUCUUGAUGUGAAAGCAUCUUCUAAUUGUGUGCCCAUCUCACCAUUUUCUUACAACAGUUCUUUUGCAUUGAAGGUCAUUGAACACAAACCAUAUGACCACAAGGCUGAUGUUUUUAGUUUUGGGAUUGU
rnacentral:misc_RNA from 1 species